GCGGGCUGGGCGCCGUCGACACCACCAGCGCGCCUCAAGGCUCCGCCCACUUCGUGCUCCCGCACUCGCCGCGCAGUAUUCCAGGUGAAAGGAAGCUCAGGGUCAGUCUUCUUCACACCCACCCCUCAAAAGGAGUGCUGAUUUGGAUUGAGAUGAUUCCAGGGCAGUAGGCUGAAACACAGUCACAGGUGGUGGCAUUUUCAGAGGAGUCUUUAAAGAGAACCAUCCUCUAGAAGAGGCAGACUGGGCUCUCUAUGCAAAGGAAACAGAAAGGCUGGAUAUGCAGUUGUGGCUCUUAAAGGGAUAGUAGAGACCAAGACCUUAGUGCUGGGAAUCUCUGCUCAUAAAUCUGAACUGAUGGCUUUGACGAGGGCACUGGGAUUGUCGCACGGAGAGAGAGUGAAUGUGUAUACUGACUUGAGGUUUUCUGCAUUCCUUUGAGCCUGGAGAUAAGGUGCUACUUGAGACUUGGAAGACAGGAUGGAAGACUAGAAGAAAAGUGGACUGGGCCUUGGGACAUACUCCUCACCACCCCCACCAUGGUGAAACUGGUAGAAAUAAAACUUUGGAUUCAUCACACCACAGUAAAGAGAGCUCUAGAACAAUGGACCACUAAAUCACAAGAACACCUGAAAGCCACCAUUAGAAAACAAUGACGUAUACUUUUUUCAUUACUUUUUGUUCAACCCCCAUGUUAUGGAGAACUUAUUCCUUUCAAACAAGAUGAAAAUAUUUGGGUAUAUUUUGCAAAAAAAGUUCUGAAUAUCUCUGACUUUUGUCUUGCAGGAGGAAGCUCCUGGCUGCCUAGUAUUAUUACUGGUCUUAAACAUUUGUUCUUUUCAUUCUUUUUAUCUUUUUGAAUAUCAUAGCUUGUUGUUAUACACGAUGUGUCCCCUUAUGUGGAUCUGCAAUUAAGUGUAUUCCCAAAGCCCCUAUGAGACUUUCUACUGCUAAGAUAUAUGCUCAACAGCGAAAUGAGUAUUCCAUAUGGAACUAAUCUCAAAGAAAUAAGAUAGUUUAGACUAACAGUGAGGAAUGAUGGGGGAACUCAAGAGUUCAAAAUUUUUAGCUGUAGUUAUAUAGUUAAUAGGCUUGGUGGUCAAUGCAUGUAGGAAGCUAUUGUUCCAGGAAGUGGAAUGUAAUGACCAGACCCACCCUGACUCCAGGAAACCAUAAGCAGUUCAACCUUUGUGCCCCGGGAGGACUGCAAGCAAUCAAGAUGGAAUCUGAGCUAUUGUGUUUCAGGGAGGGAAUGUCUCCUGACCAGGACAGAGAUGAAGAAUCACAGGUUAGCAGAUGAAAAUGGCAGUACUGCAACUUUUAUCUGAUUAACCUUUACCUCUGAAUUCCAAACACCUUACCCGCUUUUUUCCUGAAUUCCAAACCCAUACCUAUUCUGUUCUUCUCCUUACAAAAAAGGUCAGCUUGAGAUGAGAUGUAAGAUGGUCUUAAGGGUACAUAACCCACCAUCUUCUCAGAUCACUUCACUGGCAAUCUGAAUAGAGUGCCUGUAAAGAGCCAAUCAUUUUCUCUACUUACUGAUUCUGGUAGUGACAGGCAGCACAAACAUCAACUUUUCUGGUUUCAAUGUGACCUUAAACAAAGGAGGUACUAAAUUUAAGUUUCAAUUUCUUCAUCUAGCGAAAUGGGACCAAUGAUAUGAUCUUCAUAUAUUUGGUGUGAAGGUUAAAUGGCUAUAGGGGUGUCCAACCUUUUGACAUCUCUGUGCCACACUGGAAGAAGAGUUGUCUUGGGCCACACAUUAAAUACAGUGCAACAUGAAAUCACAACAAGGUCUAAUAAUGUUUUAAGUAGAUUUAUGACUUUUUGUUGGGCCACAUUCAUAGCCAUUCUGAGUCCCAGGUUGGACACUCCUGGCUUAAAGUAUGCAAAGUAUUUAACAUAAUGCCUAUUACAGCAGGGGAUCAAUAUACUAUUGCUAUUAUUAUUAUUAUUACUAUUAUUAUUAUUAUUAUUAUUGCUGAGCAGUAUAGUGUGGUGGCUAAAAGCAUGGAUCUUGGAGUCAUACUGCUCCUUCUGGUCUGAGGUUCAGACUCUGCAUUUAGCAUCUGUUUGGCCAUAAGUAAAUUAGCUAAACUCUGUAAGCUUCAAAUUUCCUCAAUCAUAACAUAGGGAUGACAGCAGUGCCUCUCUCUUACGGUUGCCAAGAGGACCAACUGAGACUAUAUAUGUAAAGUGCUUAAUGUAGAACUGAGAUCUAAAUCACUGCUUAAAUGAGAUUUUAUACAUAAAGUGCUUAACACAGAGCCUGACAUGUAAUAAGUAGCUGCUCUAUGUAACAGCAUUCAAAAACUCAAACCCAACUACACUGAAGUGGUUUCUGCCAUUUCAGAUGAAUUUAGCAGUACCUCUUCUGAGAGGUGGAGGGAGGAAUGGAACAUAUCCCCAUAAAAAUGCAUUCAUUUAAAGUUGAACAGGGUAGAUGAAGAACACAAUAUAGGCCUAAAAUACUGCCCAAUCUGUUGUCAUAGCCUUUGGUUUGUUUUAUAAGUACACAUUAGCACUAAAGGGUUUGUAAUACUAUAUACUUGAAUAAGGAUGUGUUAAGGAGAUCAGCAUUUUUUUAAUUUCAAGAAGCUGAAUCUGGGUUCAAGUAAGAAAUGUCUCAUUUUUAAAACCAAAGCACCAUAUUUAUGCACAUGUUUUUGUCUUUUUUCCUGUUAUGUUACCAUUAAACAGUAAUGGAAAGGGAAUGUUCAUAUGCCACCUGAAUCCUGGUG